rnacentral:rRNA from 1 species
UACGUAGGGGGCAAGCGUUUGUCCGGAUUUAUUGGGCGUAAAGAGCGUGUAGGCGGCCAUGCAGGUCCGUUGUGAAAACUGGAGGCUUAACCUCCAGACGUCGAUGGAAACCGUAUGGCUAGAGUCCGGAAGAGGAGAGUGGAAUUCCGGGUGUAGCGGUGAAAUGCGCAGAUAUCGGGAAGAACACCCGUGGCGAAGGCGGUUCUCUGGGACGGUACUGACGCUGAGACGCGAAAGCGUGGGGAGCGAACAGG